rnacentral:rRNA from 1 species
ACCUGGUUGAUCUUGCCAGUAGUCAUAUGCUUGUCUCAAAGAUUAAGCCAUGCACGUCUAAGUACAAUCGUGUAUUAACCGAGAAACUGCAGAUGGCUCAUUAGAUCAGUUAUGGUUCAUUGGAGCCAGUUCACGACCAUGGAUAACUGUGGUAAUUCUAGAGCUAAUACAUGCAUCUAAGCGCCGACCCUUCGGGGGAAGCGUGCUUUUAUUAGAAACAAGGCCAGCCCGGUGUCUCGCUCCGGCGUGCCCGGUCUCUGCUGGUGAACUCUAGAUAAUGUAGCCGAUCGCACGGUCUAGCACCGGCGACGCUCCCUUCAAAUGUCUGCUCUAUCAACUGUCGAUGGUACGUUAUGCGCUUAUCAUGGUAGUGACGGGUAACGGAGAAUCAGGGUUCGAUUCCGGAGAGGGAGCCUGAGAAACGGCUACCACAUCCAAGGAAGGCAGCAGGCACGCAAAUUACCCACUCCUGACACGGGGAGGUAGUGACAAAAAAUAACGAUACAGGCCUCUUCGGAGGCCCUGUGAUCGGAAUGAGUACACUUUAAAUCCUUUAACGAGGAUCUACUGGAGGGCAAGUCUGGUGCCAGCAGCCGCGGUAAUUCCAGCUCCAGCAGCGUAUAUUAAAUUUGCUGCAGUUAAAAAGCUCGUAGUCGGAUGUCUGGUCGGGGCGGGUGGUCCGCCGCGAGGCGAGCACUGCCCGUUCCCGUGUGCCGUCCCUUUGUUCGGCGUUCCGCGUCGGCAGAGCGGGCGGGCGGGAGUUUGAUCCCGGCCAGUCCUCCGGUUGGUCGUGCGGUGCUCUUAACUGAGUGCCGUGCGAGACUGGAACGUUUACUUUGAGAAAAUUAGAGUGUUCAAAGCAGGCCCAAGUGCCCGAACAGUUCAGCAUGGAAUAGUGGAAAAGGACCUCGGUUCUAUUUCGUUGGUCUUUAAAUCCAGAGGUAAUGAUCAAGAGGGACUGCCGGGGGCAUUCGUAUUGCGGCGUGAGAGGUGAAAUUCUUGGAUCGUCGCAAGACGCCCGACAGCGAAAGCAUUUGCCAAGAAUGUCUUCAUUGAUCAAGAACGAAAGUCGGAGGAUCGAAGGCGAUCAGAUACCGCCCUAGUUCCGACCAUAAACGAUACCAACUCGUAAUUCGCCGGCGUUCCUCCCAUGACGCGGCGGGCAACUCCCCGGAAAACCAAAGUCUUUGGGUUCCGGGGGAAGUAUGGUUGCAAAGCUGAAACUUAAAGGAAUUGACGGAAGGGCACCACCAGGAGUGGAGCCUGCGGCUUAAUUUGACUCAACACGGGGAAACCUACCCGGCCCGGACACAGUGAGGAUUGACAGAUUGAGAGCUCUUUCUUGAUUUUGUGGAUGGUGGUGCAUGGCCGUUCUUAGUUGGUGGAGCGAUUUGUCUGGUUAAUUCCGAUAACGAACGAGACUCCGGCUUGCUAAAUAGUCCGGCUACCCGUCGAGGUACGCCGCGAACUUCUUAGAGGGACAAAUGGCUUUUAGCCAUACGAGAUGGAGCAAUAACAGGUCUGUGAUGCCCUUAGAUGUCCGGGGCCGCACGCGCGCUACACUGGCGCAAGCAGCGGGUCUCUAUCCCUCGGCCGACAGGUCCGGGUAACCCGCUGAGACUUCUCCGUGCUGGGGACAGGGACUUGUAAUUGUGUCCCUUGAACGAGGAAUUCCAAGUAAACGCGAGUCAUCAGCUCGCAUUGAUUACGUCCCUGCCCUUUGUACACACCGCCCGUCGCUACUACCGAUCGAAUGGCUUAGUGAGGCCAUCGGAUCGACCGUCCGCCAGGUGUCUUUCGGCGCCUGUACUGGGCGUGACGAGAAGACGGUCAAACUUGAUCAUUUAGAGGAAGUAAAAGUCGUAACAAGGUUUCCGUAGGUGAACCUGCAGAUGGAUCA